rnacentral:rRNA from 1 species
UACGUAGGGUGCGAGCGUUGUCCGGAAUUAUUGGGCGUAAAGGGCUCGUAGGCGGUCUGUCGCGUCGGGAGUGAAAACACGGGGCUUAACCCCGUGCCUGCUUCCGAUACGGGCAGACUAGAGGUAUGCAGGGGAGAACGGAAUUCCUGGUGUAGCGGUGAAAUGCGCAGAUAUCAGGAGGAACACCGGUGGCGAAGGCGGUUCUCUGGAACGCAACUGACGCUGAGACGCGAAAGCGUGGGGAGCAAACAGG